rnacentral:rRNA from 2 species
UCGCGAAACCUUUGCAAUACACGAAAGUGUGACAGGGCUAUCCCGAGUGCCAUCCGCUGAGGAAGGCUUUUACCCAGUCUAGAUAGCUGGGGGAAUAAGGAGAGGGCAAGUCUGGUGUCAGCCGCCGCGGUAAUACCAGCUCUCCGAGUGGUGUGGAUGUUUAUUGGGCCUAAAGCAUCCGUAGCUGGCUAGGUCAGUCCCUUGUCAAAUCCACCGAAUUAAUCGUUGGAUCGCGGGGGAUACUGCUUGGCUAGGGGACGAGAGAGGCAGACGGUAUUUUCGGGGUAGGGGUGAAAUCCUAUAAUCCCGGGAAGACCACCAGUGGCGAAGGCUGUCUGCUAGAACGCGCCCGACGGUGAGGGAUGAAAGCUGGGGGAGCGAACCGG